GCAGUUUUCCCCCAAAUCCCUCCCCUAUAGACGCACGAGCUUCCUCCUAAAUCCCACCCCAGUGCCGAGAGCGCCACCAAAUUAACACCAAAACCACGACGGCGCAGCUCAUCCAUCGCCUUGCCGCCCGCGCCCUCCUCAAGCCAUCGCCAUUGUAGGCGGCGGCGGCCGCCGCCGCUGCAGACUUGGGCUCCCGCGGUUGCCGCUGCAGAGGCAGCCGCCGCCGGCGGUGGCCGUGUGGGCCUUGACCACCCGGCCACCCUCGGUAGCUUCGGAUGCACCGGAGGUCUCCGCCACUGCGAUGCUCGCCCGACCCUGCCGCCCUCGAUGGAUCCUAGUUAGCCUGCCGCCCUCGGUGGAUCCUACCCUGCCGCCCACGACUGAGACCAACCUGCCGAAGCUGUAGACGUGUGCUUCAACUUCAGAAAUCAGAACCAAGGCUUAAUUAGAAUCAGAAGAUGGAGUGGACUUGCAAUUAUCUCAUAAGCGAUUGAUGAUUUCUAAUAGUUUUCUUCUGUCUGAGAUUUAAAUCGCGGGCGAACGGAAUCGCGGAAGGGAAAUUUGCCGCGAUAAUUAAUGAAGAAACAGCGCGAUCUCCGGCGAUUGCGGCGCGAUCUCCCGUGAUUCUGGAUGACGAGUGGCUUCCACCCCCCAAAUUCUUAAGAGGUUUUGCAGAACUUCUACUGCGCCUAUUGCAAAUGAGUCUAAACGUCCAUUGAUUAGACCUGAUGGGCACAUGCACUGGUUAGAAUUACAUACAUUGAGGAAAAAAUGUGAGAAAGCCAAAUGGUGUGCUAACAAUUCUGUCCAGACUACAGUGGAGAGUAGCCUUGGUGGUCUGCAUAAGUUUCUUAUGGUGUGUAAAGCCAUUCGAUAUAGCUUUCUAAUUUGUAUGAAAAAUGUCAGACCAUCACAUCCCUUCAAGGAAUUCAAGGGCCUGAGAUUCCAUGUAUUGUUAUACCUCCACCUCCAGCUUUUUCAACAUUAACCACUUCGUCUCCGAUCUUUUCUCCACAAAUGCCCUCCACAGGUGAAUCAACUAAUGGUGCUGAAAAUAUGAAUAAUACAUCGCAUGGAGCAGAAGAUGGAAUGUUUGCUGGCUCUUUUGAUGCAAACUAGAAAUUUCUCUCCGCCUAGUGACGAACUACCUCCUUUUUGAGAUGUCUCUUGCGGUUGUGAAGGAAGUGCCAUAAACUUUUUGUGUCGAUAAAUUGGAAGCCAAUGCUUGUUACUAGGAUAUGCAUACUUAAUUAAGUGCAACCCGCCACUCCUCUUUUUGGCCAUGCACAUGCCGAUGGUUGUGAUCUCUUGGAUCAGUGACUUGCAUGAUUUAUAGUGUGUGUGACAAUCCUAGUUAGAUGACACUUUGUGAAGUGUAGGAUACUUCUGUAAGCUCCUGGUUGUUGACAUGUAAAAUGAUUAUGGUUAAUAUAUAUAUAUAUGUGUGUGUGUG